rnacentral:miRNA from 13 species
GUGCCUACUGAGCUGAAACGCA